CCUACGGGGGGCACCAGUGGGGAAUAUUGCACAAUGGGCGCAAGCCUGAUGCAGCCAUGCCGCGUGUAUGAAGAAGGCCUUCGGGUUGUAAAGUACUUUCAGCGGGGAGGAAGGUGUUGUGGUUAAUAACCACAGCAAUUGACGUUACCCGCAGAAGAAGCACCGGCUAACUCCGUGCCAGCAGCCGCGGUAAUACGGAGGGUGCAAGCGUUAAUCGGAAUUACUGGGCGUAAAGCGCACGCAGGCGGUCUGUCAAGUCGGAUGUGAAAUCCCCGGGCUCAACCUGGGAACUGCAUUCGAAACUGGCAGGCUAGAGUCUUGUAGAGAGGGGUAGAAUUCCAGGUGUAGCGGUGAAAUGCGUAGAGAUCUGGAGGAAUACCGGUGGCGAAGGCGGCCCCCUGGACAAAGACUGACGCUCAGGUGCGAAAGCGUGGGGAGCAAACAGGAUUAGAUACCCCAGUAGUC
rnacentral:rRNA from 1 species